rnacentral:ncRNA from 1 species
UAUUUGGUGCCGAUGAGGCUCAAUAGGGAAUCGGGUGGAAGUCCCGGACAGUUCCCGCUGCUGUAAGCUCUUAACGCUUGUCACUAUGCCACUGAUAAUCAAGGGAUUUCGGGAAGGCGGCAAGAAUCAGGGAGUAAGUCAGAAGACCUGCCAGAUGUCGUA